rnacentral:rRNA from 1 species
GACGAACGCUGGCGGCGUGCCUAAUACAUGCAAGUAGAACGCUGAAGAGAGGAGCUUACUCUUCUUGGAUGAGUUGCGAACGGGUGAGUAACGCGUAGGUAACCUGCCUUGUAGCGGGGGAUAACUAUUGGAAACGAUAGCUAAUACCGCAUAACAAUGGAUGACACAUGUCAUUUAUUUGAAAGGGGCAAUUGCUCCACUACAAGAUGGACCUGCGUUGUAUUAGCUAGUAGGUGAGGUAAUGGCUCACCUAGGCGACGAUACAUAGCCGACCUGAGAGGGUGAUCGGCCACACCGGGACUGAGACACGGCCCAGACUCCUACGGGAGGCAGCAGUAGGGAAUCUUCGGCAAUGGGGGCAACCCUGACCGAGCAACGCCGCGUGAGUGAAGAAGGUUUUCGGAUCGUAAAGCUCUGUUGUAAGUCAAGAACGGGUGUGAGAGUGGAAAGUUCACACUGUGACGGUAGCUUACCAGAAAGGGACGGCUAACUACGUG